rnacentral:rRNA from 1 species
GACGAACGCUGGCGGCGUGCUUAACACAUGCAAGUCGAACGGAAAGGCCCCCUUGUGGGGUACUCGAGUGGCGAACGGGUGAGUAACACGUGAGUAACCUACCCUUGACUUUGGGAUAACUUCAGGAAACUGGGGCUAAUACCGGAUAGGAGCUCCUGCUGCAUGGUGGGGGUUGAAAGUUUCGGCGGUUGGGGAUGGACUCGCGGCUUAUCAGCUUGUUGGUGGGGUAGUGGCUCACCAAGGCUUUGACGGGUAGCCGGCCUGAGAGGGUGACCGGCCACAUUGGGACUGAGAUACGGCCCAGACUCCUACGGGAGGCAGCAGUGGGGAAUAUUGCACAAUGGGCGGAAGCCUGAUGCAGCAACGCCGCGUGCGGGAUGACGGCCUUCGGGUUGUAAACCGCUUUCGCCUGUGACGAAGCGUGAGUGACGGUAAUGGGUAAAGAAGCACCGGCUAACUACGUG